AGCUUUGCACAGUGGCAGCACCAUUGCCAAUGAGGUUUAUCCAAGGUGCCAUUAUUGUUAAUUGAAAACUUUUCCCAAUACCCUGCCAUGGCUGCUUGUAAUAUAAUUAGUUGGCACAGGCAAUUUUUGAUGGUCUCUGUAGAGA